rnacentral:rRNA from 1 species
ACUUUGAAGCACAGACGCCAGUUUGUGUGGAGUCGUUGUUGAAAUACCACUCUGAUCGUAUUGGACACCUAACGUCGAACCCUUAUCGGGUUCACGGACAGUGCCUGGCGGGUAGUUUAACUGGGGCGGUUGCCUCCUAAAAUGUAACGGAGGCGCCCAAAGGUUCCCUCAACCUGGACGGCAAUCAGGUGGCGAGUGUAAGUGCACAAGGGAGCUUGACUGCGAGACUUACAAGUCAAGCAGGGACGAAAGUCGGGACUAGUGAUCCGGCACCCCCGAGUGGAAGGGGUGUCGCUCAACGGAUAAAAGGUACCCCGGGGAUAACAGGCUGAUCUUCCCCAAGAGUCCAUAUCGACGGGAUGGUUUGGCACCUCGAUGUCGGCUCGUCGCAUCCUGGGGCUGGAGCAGGUCCCAAGGGUUGGGCUGUUCGCCCAUUAAAGCGGCACGCGAGCUGGGUUUAGAACGUCGUGAGACAGUUCGGUCUCUAUCCGCCGCGCGCGUCAGAAACUUGAGGAAACCUGUCCCUAGUACGAGAGGACCGGGACGGACGAACCUCUGGUAUACCAGUUGUCCCACCAGGGGCACGGCUGGAUAGCCACGUUCGGACAGGAUAACCGCUGAAAGCAUCUAAGCGGGAAACCUUCUCCAAGAUCAGGUUUCUCACCCUUUUAGAGGGAUAAGGCCCCCCGCAGAUCACGGGAUUGAUAGGCCAGACCUGGAAGCUCAGUAAUGAGUGCAGGGAACUGGCACUAACCGGCCGAAAACUUACCAACACACAACUCG